rnacentral:rRNA from 1 species
AGCGAACGCUGGCGGCAUGCCUAACACAUGCAAGUCGCACGGGGGGGCUUCGGCCUCCCAGUGGCGGACGGGUGAGGAACGCGUAGGGACCUGUCGAGGGGUGGGGGAUAACCGCGGGAAACUGCGUCUAAUACCGCAUGACGCCGCGGCGUGACAGCCGGGGCCAAAGGCGAAAGCCGCCCGCCGAGGGGCCUGCGUCCGAUUAGCUGGUUGGCGGGGUAGCGGCCCACCAAGGCGUCGAUCGGUAGCUGGUCUGAGAGGGUGAUCAGCCACACCGGGAGUGAGGCACGGGCCGGACUCCUACGGGAGGCAGCAGUGGGGAAUAUUGGAAAAGGGGCGCAAGCCUGAUCCAGCAAUGCCGCGUGGGUGAAGAAGGUCUUCGGAUUGUAAAGCCCUUUCGGCGGGGACGAUGGUGACGGGACCCGCAGAAGAAGCCCCGGCUAACUUCGUG